CCAGACGGGCUUCUACAAGUGCGAGGUGACUGCCGACGCGCCGUCCUUCCACACGGAGAUCCGCUCCGCCCUCAUGAUAGUCACAGAGUUCCCCGACGAGAACCCGGUGCUGGAGGUGGGCAAGCUCAAGUACUCGCUGGGGGAGAGGCUGCGAGCCAACUGCAGCUCUCGGCCCUCCUACCCGGCCGCCAACCUCACCUGGUUCAUCAACGGCCAGCAGGUGUUCGGCUCGAAGCAGGUGGUGAUCCGCAAGGUGGUGCACCAGCACGCGGACGAGCUGGAGUGGAC